UGUUGGAAAUCAAGUCUUGAUCCAACACAAAUUCACGGUAUGAGUGACCACGCUCGACUCUUUUAAUAUUUAUCAAUAAAAAAGCACACAAAAUUACAAUGCUCCUAACCAUCUAUUUAUGAUACCAAACUUAUUAUAAUCUUAACCAAAUUAACUCAAACUCUGUUUUUAAUAAUAAAAUAACUAACUAGAUAAACACAUUUAUCAAACUAACAAUUAUCACUAAUUAAAAUAUAAAAGACUCUAUAAAUAAUUCACCAAGAAUAAUCUAUAAUCUGUCUUGAUCUCCUUAAUUCAAGAUUAACGUCUUCAUUCUCCCCCUUAAUCAUGAAUUUGACCCAUUUCUUCACAUCCCCAUCGUUAUCAACAACUUCACUCCUUUAAUUAAUCGUUUUUUACCACAAUCAAAGAAAAAAGAUAAGCUCCCCUCUUCUAGCGUUUUCUUCUUUCCAUGCGAGACGCGACAAGAUUCAAAGCCUCCCGUUUUGACGAAUCUUCUUUUGUCUAUCUACACUCAAAUCAGGUCGAAUACUUCUGCAACAAAAAAAAAAAACAACCUACACCGAUUACUUUGUUCUUAACCUUGGCGGGAAGGACCGGGUCUUGAUCUUACCUGGAUUGAAAGUUGUUAUUGCAAUGAAUCUCAUCACCACCGAAACAAAUUGAACACUAGUCAAUACUGGUGCCCCAAACGGUACUCCCUGUUUACAUCGGCUGACCCGAACCAUCGUUUGCUUUAGUUUAUGUAAAACAAAUUGAGUCAUUCUUUGAUCGUAGUUUUACCAUUCUGUUAGAGUCCUCUUUAAUAUGCCCCAUUUAAUAUCAACCACCAAUAAAAGCAACAACCCACCGGUUAAUCCGUCGCUUGGUUGCCAAACGAAUCCCUAGACCCUUUGCUCUUUCGUUUCUUCCGCGACAUGCCCGUUGGUUUUUCCGCCAAAAAAUGAACUGCUCACUGCGAUUUUCCUCCUUUACGAGGAAGGGUCUCUGAUAAAUAAAACAUGAUCAAACCCGAGUUAAACCUCUCGUUUCUAAUCUAUAGUCACAAAACGUGCUUCUUUGUAUGCCUUCCCAUGCUUUUCUUGCGUUAACCAAAGAAAUUAAAAAACCCACCAUCACAUUUGAUUCCCAUGUGAAUAAUUAAUGGACUUUAACACACUCCCCACGUGAAUCAUUUAUAUAGUAUGAAUUAGCAACUACUCUCUGCAGUUGCUAAUUGCACCAUUUGCAUCAACAGUAUUUUGUGAUAUCCAAUGUUGUACGAUGUAUAGUAUGGUUUGUACAUCGUGUGGCGCUUGUUUAUUGGCUUUAGUUGGCGGUGGGUUACGUGUGUAAAAAGAGAUAGAGAAAUGGUGUUGUCGGUCUUUUGAGUUCUUUAUUCCUUCGUAUGCAGAAAGAAGAGAGAAAACAAAAUUAGGGUUAGAGAGAGAGAGGAUGUUUCUUCUUCCUCCCCACCAUCUCUCCUAUCUGUCUUUCUCAACACCAUGGCAAUGAUUCUCCCCCCCCAUAUGUCUUUCUCCCCCAAAAUUCCAUUCACCGGACGGAUUGAACUACCACACGAAUACCUGCCACUGCCAAACACCACUACCGCCCACCCCCCCCCCCCCCAAAAAAAAAAAAAAGAAUAUUCUUCUAAGGGCCUCCAACUUGUCCAAAACACCUUGUGGUGCCUUAAACAACGAGAAGAAAUACAACGGAAGGCUAUCCAAGAUAGCUUUCAACAAUGUCAACCUCCCACCAAUCGAUAACAUUUUCGACUUCCACCUGGAAAGGCGGUUUUUGAAAUAAUCUAUUACGCACUUCUAAUGUCUAAUUUCAUGUUUACGCCCACAAUUACAUCAAAAUUAGUUUGUGCUCAUUUGUGUUAAUCAACGCUCAUUUUCGUACAUUGCCUAAAAUUAACAAACGAACACGAACAUAAAAUCUCGUUCGUUAAGCGUUCUUGAACAAUUUGUGAACACACAUAUUUCUUAACAAACGAACACGAACAAGGUCCUGUUCGUUUCCUUUCGGUUUGUUUGCAGCCCUAAUGAGGCUAGAGAAAGUACCUUAUGGAAUCGAUUGCUUCAUAUAAAGACGCCACUCAUUGAUAUACGCCAUCUUGUCAUCAUCCAUGCUUGGUACUUUAUUACAUUUCUCUAGUUUUUCUAUAAUCUUGGUAGUCUUACCAAAAAGCUUUGCUGCAACCCUCACACUUUCCUCUCUUUUCUCUAUCACACUUUCAUGGCAUCUCAUUGUUAUGACCCGCGGUAGGUUGGUAAAGCAAGCACAAAAUAUGUCCGCAAUCAUGCCUUCUAAAUGGGAAAAUAACUGCUUUUUGGUCACUGGUUCUGUGUUGCUUUCAAACCUAAGCAAGACUGUUUGUGUGAUUCGGUACAUUGAAUUGGCAACAAUCAACUUGUAGGGCGGAUUCUCUGCCAAUUCUCCUUUGGUGCUUUCUUUAAUUCUGGUCACAAUUUCUUCAGCUGUAUCAGAAAACCAUUUAACAAUCUCUGUUGCUGCUUUCCCACUAAACACAUUUUUUGCUACAGGAUUGCCCAACCACUUGCAUUUGUAUUCGACUUCAUGCCAUAAGGACAUACUGGCCUUUCGAAGAUUUACAUAUUCGCUUGAACAAUUGAGGCUUUCUUCCACGAGAUGGGUGAACGAAAGGCCUUCACCAACACUUCUUAACAAGCUCUCAACUGCGUCCUUACGAAUCUUUGGGAUGGAAACAGCGAUACACGUUAAGGUUACAAUUGCCUUUGAUAUGAAAGAAUUCACAGAUUUUGAAAUGCCCUUUAGUGUUUUGUCAGCAAGCUCUUUCCCAUCGUCAAUUUGCAAGACGUACAUGCUGAGGUCUUCAUCUAUAUCUUCAGUUCUUGAGGUGAUGAGUGAAGUAAAACAACUGACCACAAAUACCGGGACUACUGUCACUAUGAGCCAUAUCAAUUUGCAUAAAAUGACAAUCACCUUUUGCAAUCCAAUCGAAAAGCUUAGAAAGAGAUUUCUUGAAUUGUAGACGAGACUUCUUGAUCUUCGAUUUCUUGAUUGAAUAGAUAUAGGGCUUUGUUUCCACACAUGCAACUUUCGGACCCAGUAAUUCUCUACUUUAAAAAACAUGAAAUAAUUCCUAUUCCAUUUAGUUCCCAACUUGAAGCUGAAAACUGAAAAAGAUCUGCAUAUAGGAGCAAUGAUUCCCACCACAACUCCAAUAGACUGUGUUAUAACAAUGGCCGUUGUGGACCGCUUGUAUGGUGAUCUACCAUCAAAUACUGGUCCCGCCAUAUCAUUAUAAUCAAUUACAGUGUAGAACACUGUAAAAAAGUUUAUGACCAAAGCUAUAACACAAAUUACACCAGAAGCAGUGGAUAAUGGAUUACUAGCCAUCCCAAAUUGAGGGCUGCCGGUUUCUGCUAUGACCCAAUACCUUCUCACAUGUUGUCUUAGCUUCUCAACUCUAGACAUUUGAUCAUGUUGUAGACGUUGAUCAGUUAGAGAUAUUUUGUUUGUGGCUCGAUAUUUAGAUUCUAAAACUUCCUUAAAGGUUGGAAUUGUUAUAGAUGAAGCAAUCAUUAUUAUUAGUAACAA